GUGUCUGUAAUGGAGCCUCCCUCCGCCAGCCUGCCUGCUCUCCUCAGCCUGCAGUGACCACUGUUACACUCUCUGUCUGUGAAGGGGCUCUCUUUCCCCUACAGAGUAUCAUAAUCUAUCUCAAGAAAAAUAAAAAUAAAAAGAAGGAAAAGAAACAAAGAAAUGAAGCACUUCUAGGCCGUCAAGGCAGAUGAAGAGCAGAUACGUUUCCUGUCUUCAGCUUUUGAGAGACACGUUAAUCUGCGAGAGGGCUCAUUUCGGCCCCACCGUCCCUGAGAAAAGUUCUCCGUGCAGAGCCUGUGAUUGCUUUGAUGUCAUCUCUGAACUGAUAUACCGACUGUCUCACUAUGAAAUAGUAGUCUAUUAUGAUUUUUUUGAACGACCCUCAGAUCAUUAACCUACACACCAAAAUGCAAGGUGAACCUCUGCAGACACGUGUUUGUGUUUUCUUGCCAACUGCUUCUUGAUAUAUAGAGAAUUUCCUGUUACCUGUGGGCUAACGUUAAGCAUACAUCAGACCCUCCAUGAAGUCCGGAUUACUGACAAAAUACCAAAGAACGAGAACGUAAAAUACAAAAUAUGAAGAGCUGGAAGUUAAGACAAAAUCAGUAGUCAAAAUAAACGUCUAUCCAAUGUGACAGAAAUUUAAGUAACAAAGCAGCCAGGCAAAUUGGAUUAAACAGACCAGGAGCAGACCAGACCCACAACUUAGAGUUCGGUCCCUUCCCGAGGCUCUGGCCCUCUACAGAAUGGAAAAGGGACUUCUACACAGGUUCCUUAAGAAACGUGUGGUACCGUCUGCAGUCUCAAAGUUCUUGCUUGGCACUUUGUGGAAGGAGGUGAUGCGUUUCUGUUCACAUUCGGUUUUCUACACUAAA